rnacentral:rRNA from 1 species
CAGUCGCCACGGUAAUACGAAGGGUGCAAGCGUUAAUCGGAAUUACUGGGCGUAAAGCGUGCGUAGGCGGUGAGUUAAGUCUGCUGUGAAAUCCCCGGGCUCAACCUGGGAAUGGCAGUGGAUACUGGCUCGCUAGAGUGUGGCAGAGGAUGGUGGAAUUCCCGGUGUAGCGGUGAAAUGCGUAGAGAUCGGGAGGAACAUCAGUGGCGAAGGCGGCCAUCUGGGACAACACUGACGCUGAGGCACGAAAGCGUGGGGAGCAAACAGGAUUAGAUACCCGCGUAGUCCCUGUCUCUUAUAC